rnacentral:lncRNA from 1 species
AUAUCCUCCUGGAGAUCCCAGCAAGCGUGCCUUUGCCUACUUUGUUCUCAGUGGUGGGAGAUUCGUAUAUGCAUCACUGCUGCGUCUCCUUGUCUUGAAGUUUGUCUUGAGCAUGUCAGCAAGUAAGGAUGUGCUUGCACUUGCUUCCCUUGAGGUUGAUCUAUCCAGCAUUGAACCUGGCAGCACAGUGACUGUCAAGUGGCGUGGAAAGCCAGUCUUCAUCAGGCGACGGACAGACGAUGACAUCAAGCUGGCCAACAGCGUGGAUGUUGCAUCCCUGCGCCACCCAGAGCAAGACGCUGAGCGUGUGAAGAACCCAGAGUGGCUGGUGGUUAUUGGUGUCUGCACUCAUCUUGGUUGCAUCCCCCUUCCCAACUCUGGAGACUUUGGUGGUUGGUUCUGCCCGUGCCAUGGCUCCCACUACGACAUCUCUGGCAGAAUCCGCAAGGGCCCUGCCCCGUACAACCUUGAGGUGCCCACCUACAGUUUCUUGGAAGAUAACAAGAUGCUCAUAGGCUAAGAGCCUAAAGACCAGUACCUACCAACAUAUAUUCUCCACAGGAGUGAAUUCCUGUUGCGCUGUUAUUUUGUUCUCAAUGUGGCUAGGAGUUUUUGUUUCAGGACUAUCACAAUGGUGAUCCACUGUUACCUACUGAAGUUCAUUUGCAGUGCGAAAUAAUUGUUUCU